AACGAACGCUGGCGGCAGGCUUAACACAUGCAAGUCGAACGCACCUUUCGGGGUGAGUGGCAGACGGGUGAGUAACACGUGGGAACGUACCCUUCAGUUCGGAAUAACCCUGGGAAACUAGGGCUAAUACCGGAUACGGCCGAGAGGCGAAAGGUUUACUGCUGAGGGAUCGGCCCGCGUCCGAUUAGCUAGUUGGUGUUGGUAACGGCUCACCAAGGCGACGAUCGGUAGCUGGUCUGAGAGGAUGGCCAGCCACAUUGGGACUGAGACACGGCCCAAACUCCUACGGGAGGCAGCAGUGGGGAAUAUUGGACAAUGGGCGCAAGACUGAUCCAGCCAUGCCGCGUGAGUGAUGACGGCCUUAGGGUUGUAAAGCUCUUUUACCUGGGAAGAUAAUGACGGUACCAGGAGAAUAAGCCCCGGCUAACUUCGUGCCAGCCGCCGCCGUAACAC
rnacentral:rRNA from 1 species